rnacentral:lncRNA from 1 species
AGAAGGUCCACUACGCAACUUUGCCAUAAAGACAUAGCCAAAUCCUCCUUCACCUAACUUCUCUUUGAAACCUGCAGCCAUCUUCUUGAUUUCCUUGUAUGAAUAUCUAAUAGGUGCCAAGCUAUUUUGUUCAAGGUAACUUUCAAUAUUUUCAUACAUUGACAUAUUUCUUUUUCUCCAUUUACAUAUAAAAAUACCAAUUAAGAAUGGUAAUCCAAACAAAACUUUGUAAGCCCAUACCAUAAGAAUAAUUUGUGUGAGAUAUCCUGCAAGAAAUUUUUACUUGGGUGAUUACACUGGUAUUGUAAAAUGAAAUAAAUUAUUUGUUAAAAUAUUUUUUGGUUCACAAAAUCCAAACUUUACACAUCCAUAGUAACAUUACACAAAAGAGUAAAUUUAAUGUCUAUCACAAACAAUUAUCAAUAAAUUUCAUUUUUGACAUUGCUAUCUAUAAAAUUUUAUGUAACAUUAAUAUUUCCUAAGACCUAAUUGAGAUGGUUGUAAAAAAAUACAAAUAGUUUUUUUAAAAUAAUUUCUUUAGUUUCUAUAAACUUUUUAAAUUCAAUUUGUGUUCCUCUAACUUCUUUAACAUAUUGAAAAUUACAAUUUUUUUUAUCUCUAAGGUAAUUAACAUUUAAUAUCGAUUAUAAACCUUUAUUUAUAUCACUUUCACUCUUAAAAUUUUGAAUUUUUAAAUUAGAUGAAGAAAAUAUUACAAACUUUUGAACAAAUUAAUAUUGAAUUUUUAAAAUGUGGAGAAUAUAACUAAAACAUAGGUAAAUUAAGAUGAUAAAAUAUCAAUUAGAAUAUGUUCAUCUCACUAACUAGACAAAAAAGACUUUGCAUUUGAACCUUUUAUAAAGGUUGUGUUCGAUUAGUAUAAAUCACAAUGUAAUCUACUUACAUUUUAUAAUGUGGUCUUAUUUUAGUUGAUGUUUCUAAUACACAUCCCUCGCGCCGAGGACAGUAUGUGUUCACAUCAAAGACAUUAAGCAUGGGAAUCAAGAGAAGCUUAAUAACGGGUAACAUGAUAGGCUCAAAUCUCGACUAGAAUAAACUCUUAGUAACUUUGAUGUCAUAUAAGGAUAAUGAGUUUAAGUUUAACUUCAACUCACAAAGUUGGUUUAAUAAGGUGAGGUUUACCACCACUUAUAUACUAUAAUUUGGUCUUAUCUUUAUUCAAUGUGGGAUCUUCAACAAUGUGGUUAAAAUUUAUUAUCAAAUGUCCAAAACAAUGCUUAAAACAUAAUCAUCGUUGAAAAUAGCAAAUGAUGAUGGUUACAAUGUAUAAUUAUCAUCACGUGUCUUUUAAUAUAUAGAAAUCAUGCCAACACAAAUAGUGUCAUUUUGUAACUUUUAAUGUUUUCUUCUUCUCCAUUGUAUUGCUCCCACCAUCGCCACUCCUUUGCAUUUGACCUAGUAACAAAAUUUUAUUUUUAUGUCUUUUACAAUUAGAUAUUUGCUUUCGCUAAGUUUUUCUCAUGUACGAAUGAUGGAGAAAGAGAAUGUCUAGAGCUAGGGAACAAAAAGGAAAGCGAGACCUCAUAUUUCUUCACACAUUUUUCUUUAAACUCUAACGAGUAUGAUAUGUGGAAAAUCUUCCAAAGUCGGGGAAAAGUUACUGGAACGUUUAUAACUAGGAAACUAAAUGGGAGAAGACAAAGAUAUUACUUGGUGAGAUUUGUAGAGGUUGUCAAUGAAGUAGAAAUAGAAAAAAAGUAGAUGCAAUUUGGAUAGCAAGCAUGAAAAAUCACGUUGGUUGACCAAAAUACAACAGGUUUGAAAAAAAUAACAACCAGAACAAGAAUGAAGGGAUAAACAUAGAGCAAAAAAUCGAAAGAACAACAAAAUAGGUGAAAAGGAUCAAUACUUUACUUAUGCACAAGCGGUAAAACGUGACACUAAGAAGGAAGGUAAAAAAGAUGCAAUGGAAGGAAUAUCGUUACAAGUGUAAGAGAAGGAGAAGAUGUGGAUAAAGAGAAGUUUUGAAGUUAGACUACAUGAUGCAAGUAAGAUGGAUCUGCUAAAUGAAAACUUUAUCCUAGGUGAGCUAUGAUUCAUCAUAAUAAGAUAUUUAAGGGAUAAUCAAGUGAAUCUCUCACCUGAUAAUGAAAUGAAUAUAUAUAAACAAUUGAGGAACACAAUGAAUGAUUUUCAAGCACGUUUGAGUCUUCUUGGUCAUCUCAAGAAACAUCGAGAAAUAAGAUCAUAUAGGUGCGGUGUAGAGGCAUACCAUUAUCCUUAUGGGGCAUCAAAUGCUUCAAAAGGAUUGUGGUUAUCAUUGGAAUGCUCAUCACAAUAAACAAAUGUUGUUGGGUCUUGGGAAGUGUUAAAGUAUGCGAGAUUGUAGGUAUGUUUAGCAAUUAGGAGUUUCACUAUGAUGUAUUGGAAAAUCAAAGUCAACGGUUCAAUUAUCAAGUGUCGUGGGAAGAUGAUCUCACUACAACAACAACCAAGAAGGAACACAAUUAAAAUAUUGGGGGAACAAACCUAUGGAAGACAAAUCAUCGUUAGCAACAAUAGGUGGGAUUAAAACAAAUUCAUUAGAGUCAGAAUGUUCGGAAAUUAAUUAUCUUGAUAUAGGAUAUACACUGGGUAAUGGGGAGCAAACCACAAUGGAGGUAUCAAACAUUAAAAGGUCGACCACCAAAGAGAGGGAUGAGAAGAUGACAGGGUCGUUGGUGGGUAAUUACCAAGGGGAGAUCAAAUUUUAUAUCGUCCUUACUUUCCUUUUUUUGCGUUGCGUGUGACAUUUUGACUUCCCUGACUUCUUCAUACCAUUUCUCUCAUUAUGAUUAAUAUUGUGAAGUACUUCCUCCUAUGAGUUCACCAUUUUUUUCCUUCAUUAUGCUUUAUUUCAAAACUUUUGAUUUUUGUACAUUUUCACUUUGACUACUCCAUGAAUUACUUGCCCAAUAAGGUUCUCAAGAAAUAAUUUUUGUUAGAUUUCCUUUCCCAAAUACCACACUUGUACAUUGGAACCCCCAAUGAUGAAUUUCUUCUUCCACUUAUACUUGAUAAACAAUAUCAUUGAUUUUUGUGUUUUUAUUAAUUUUUUCCUCACCGUGGGUUUAUUUAUAGUUAUCAAGGUGUCAAUGGUUGUCAUUACCUUUUUUAAAUAUUCUUGUCUAUACAAAGAUAAUAGUAUGUGUUGAACAUGCACUUUGAUGUCUCCAAAUCCAUGAAUAUUGGUUGAAGGCUUUGCUGCUGCUUGUGUGUGUGGGUUUUGGGUAGUUUGAAUUUGUAAUCCACUCAUAGAAUUGAUCACAAGUUGUUUGAUUUUAAUGUAUUUGAAAAAAAUGUGUUUUCAAAGAGAAGUGGAAAAACAACUAGUUGUUUUAUCGUUUCAACCGGUUGUUUUACACUUACAGUUUUUUGAAAGGAUUUGAAACUGUUUGACUUUGGUUGACUUUGCUGUCAAACCAAUUCAACCGGUUGUUUCAAAAAUUCAACCAAUUGAUCUUUGAAAAUCCUUAACAAAAUUCUGUUAAGUUGAUUUAAUCUGAUUUAAAUUAUUUUAAUUGAUUUUGGAUCUUUAAUUAAUUACUUUUAACAACUAGUUGGAGUAUAAAUAAGUGGUUAUACGCUCCUGGUUGUUAAGAUUUCAAAUUAACAGUUUCAAAUCAGUUUUCUAAGAUUGCUUCAAGUUUUGGAUACUUUCUAAGAGUGGAAUAUGAUUGUGCUGUAAUUAAGAUUGCUUUGAUAUUUGAUAAUUAUCAGGUGUUUUCCAUUCUCUUUCAUUUGACUUGUAUUUCUGUAAAGUACUGUGUUGCAUAGAGUCAGAGGGUGUUCUGAUUUGUGGUGUGUUGUAAUUGCCAAAGGAAGUGUGUGUUCUUGAGGGGUUCAAGAUCACUUCUUUGGUGUGUGUGGUUUGUAAUAUGUGGUUGAUUACAUAUGGAAUACUUAGUGAUUUCUAGGGACUGGAUGUAGCUCUUAGCUUUUAGUUUUAAGUUUUUUUAUAAACUGCUGAUAAAAACAACUGAAUGAAUCGCAUAAACAACCGGUUGAUUUUAUGGAAAUCAACUAAAACAAUUUUGUAACUUAUGCAUUUUCAUUCCUUUGGCUUUGAUUUUUCAUUGGCUUUCUUCAUACCUUUAAAGUUUGCGAAAAACGUUUAAAAACAUUUCACUCCCCUUGUUUUAGGCCUACAAUUCUAACCAUAUGCCCUUAGACCUAACCAAAACAACCUUGUUUUCUAAGAUAACCUGGUUUAAUUAUGGAAUCACUUAUUCAAACAACAUUUAUAGUCGUUUGCUAUCUUGCUCUAUCGCCUUACUUACUUUGCUAUCCCAUAAAUUAUGCACUCUGAUGAAUUUCAAGCCAUCUAGAAAGAAAUUUUCUUUUAGCGUAUCCACCUUAUUAUUGUCAUGCAACCUUCUGAUAAAAGCUUUUCUUUAACCAUUAUUUUUGUUGGUGUUGAGGGAAUAAAACAGAGCAAGAUAUUUGUUAACAGAGAAUAUAAAUUUUAUUUCAUUGCUACUUUUCAAAUAAGAAUACAAUCUCUCUAAAUAGUCUUACAAUAGACUUCUCAAAUUCUACCUUCUCUAUCAUAAAACCUAUACUAUAAUUUACAUUUAAAUCAUAGUAUAAAUGACAUUUAAAACUAGAAUUAAAGAUAAUAAUUAUUAGCUAUUCAAAUGCUAAAAUAAAACUGAUGAAGGCUGACGGCUUUGAGUUUAAUGCUAACAAAUUCCCCCUUAAACUCAAACCUUUCAUAUUUUUCAUUCAGAUUGUUAUCGCUCACACUUCUAAUUUUAUAUUUUUCCUUACCCCAACUGCCUCCAAUAUUAUAUUUUUCUAGUAGUCACCAUAUUGUCCUUGAUUAGAAGCAACUUCAAUUUUCUUCAUUGCACCAAUCCGUGCAGAAUUUUGAAUUGAAUUACUUUUAAUUUUCCAAACAAAAUCUUCUCCACUUUCACCCUUUGAAUUAAAAGGAUUUAAGAAAGACUUUGACUUCAAUGAGCUUUGAAGAUAAUGAUUAUACCAUAUUUCCCUUUCAGAUGAUGUCUCAACACCAUUCCAUUUAUGGUCUUCUCCUAAAUCAAAACCACUAUUUUCAAGUAAAACACAUGAACCAAAAGGGGAUUUGAAUUUGAAUUGUAAUUCACUCACCUUUUCUUUUUGUGCCAAAAGCAACAAAUGAAGUUUUUCAACUUGAUUGACUCUACUUUCCUUGUCUUUCUCCAUAUCAACAUAUUUUUCUUCCAAUUUUGUAAACCUUUUUUCCAGGUUAUCAAAUUUUGCUUCAACACUCUCCAAUAAUUGUCUCAUACUGAGAAUAUUACUCUUCAAGUCAGGUACAUAAAUUUUUGUGACAUUUUCUUUGGAUUUAAAGGCCAUGUGCUCCUCCUCCAUUGGAUUGAGAACAAAACUUUUUCCCUUCAUUUCAACUUUAAACAAAUCUCUGCCAUCAACAUCUUUAAUUAAGCAAUGUUUAUUUCCAAACAUCACAUUAUAGCCUUUUUCCAACAAUUGACCAACACUCAAAAGAUUUUGAUCAAUCUCUGGCACAAAAAGAACAUUUGUAAUGAUUUUUAUACCCUUAUAGCUUGUGAUAGCUAUUGUGCCUUUUCCUUUUACUGCAAGAUGUUCACCAUUUCCAAUCCUCACCCUUUUAAUAUCAGUAGUUCUCAAUUCCUUGAAGAGUUCCUUGUCAUGUGUCAUGUGGUUGGUGCAGCCACUGUCAAUUAGCCAAGAUGCACUUGAAAUAUUGCUGCAAAAACCAGUUGCAACAAAAAGUACAUCCUCCUCCUCCUUUGCAAUUUGAGCAUCUACAUCUUGUUGCUCACUUUGGUUUCUACAAAUGAUUGCUCCAUGCCCAAGUUGAUUGCACUUGUUGCACUUAGCAUUAGGUCUUCUCCAACACUUAAACAGCUGAUGACCUAACUUGUUGCAAUGCUUACAAGGAAGAUAAUUUCUACCUUUGUUUCUCCAGCCACCUUCAUGUUUGACUAGUAAGGCUCCUUCUACUGCUCCAUCUUGUCUCAUGGUUCUCCUUUGUUCUUGUGCUUGUAAAGCAUUUAAGAGCUUUGCAAGAGAAAUCUUUGAUAGGUCAUUUGUGUUCUCCAGGGUUGUUAUGGUGGCUUCAAACCUCUCUGGAACUGUUACAAGCAGUUUUUCCACAAUUCUUGAAUCUUUUAACACAGAUCCAAGCAACCUCACUUUGUUGGCAAUGCUUAGAAGUUUGUCCGGGUACUCUUUUACGGAUUCCGACUCCUUCAUUCUCUGCAAUUCAAACUCUCUGAUUAGAUUCAGGGUUUGCAUUCCAGGAAUCCUCUCAUCACCUUCAUAUUCUGCCUUGAGGUAAUCCCAGAUUUCUUUUGCUAACUUCAAGGACAUUAUCCUUGUGAAUACCACAGGAGAUACAGCUGCAAAUAGACAUGCUUUUGCCUUUGAUUUCUUCAUCUUUUUUCCUUCUGUGAUUUUAUUUGUGCCACCAUAGGGUUUCCUGGAAGGGACUGAAUUUCAUAGUCCUCUUCUACAGCUUCCCAUAAAUCCAAUGCUUCUAGGUAGGUCUCCAUACGAACAACCCACAUUUGAUAAUUGUCUCCAUCAAAGACAGGUGGUGCCAUUGCUGAAAAAUUUGAUCCUCCUUCCAUUGGUGCACUCUACUAACCUCACAAUCCCUCAAGAAAAUAGCUCUGAUACCACUUGUUGGUGUUGAGGGAAUAAAACAGAGCAAGAUAUUUGUGAACAGAGAAUAUAAAUUUUAUUUCAAUGCUACUUUUCAAAUAAGAAUACAAUCUCUCUAAAUAGUCUUACAAUAGACUUCUCCAAUUCUACCUUCUCUAUCAUACAACCUAUACUAUAAUUUACAUUUAAAUCAUAGUAUAAAUGACAUUUAAAACUAGAAUUAAAGAUAAUAAUUAUUGGCUAUUCAAAUGCUAAAAUAAAACUGAUGAAGACUAACGGCUUUGAGUUUAAUGCUAACAAUUUCUCUUACUCAUUCACUAAAAACUGUUUCGCUUCCAUCUACCUGUAUUAGUGUUCAUAUUGUUUUACAAUCUCACUUAUGCUCGUGACUAAUCCUGAACUUUCCUCCUUUACAUCACAAUUCCCAUUAUUUUGCUUUUUGAAUUAGUUCCUUCGAGCUUACUUCACUUGAACACCAUUUCUUUGUUCCUUCAAUAUUUGGCUUGUUCACGUGUGUUUUUCUAAUACCAAUCCACAUAUUAUCCAAUUUAUCCCUAACUCCACUGCAUUUACCAUUCCAAGAAACAUCCAAACCCAAUUCUUUGCACUCUCCCAUUUACUUUUUGCAUAUAAAUACCUCUUGCAUUCUCCCCCACCUUCGGAAGAUUUUCUACAUAACAUACUCAUCGUAGUUUACCGGAAAGUGAGAAAAAAAAAAAAGAAUGGUGUGGAGUCUUUCUAUGCUCAUGUGUUUUGCGCCCUUUUGUCUUUGUUGUUGAUAGUUUUCAUACUCAACUCAUUGGUAGCUCCUCUUUCUAUUUUGAAUCUGAUUCCUUUUUAUUUAAUGGGGUACCUAGUGUGAUAACUUUUUGGGAGAUGUUCAAAACAUUAAAGUUGAGGGGAUCCUCUUUCAAGAUUUUCUACUUAGUGAUGCAAAUCAAGUGUGUUUUGAUAAUUUGAUUUUUUUUUUUAUCUUAAAGUGUGUUUAAUAAUUUAUAUCAUUACAAGAAAAUUAUUAAAUAGAAACUAAUUUUAGAAACUAAAAAUAAUUAGUUGCUAUGGUGACUAAAUUAGAGAUCAUUUUAGAAAUUAAAAAAAAUUGGUUUCUAAAUUAGUUUCUAUUAUUGUUAAAUGGUUUCUAAAUUGGUAUAUAAUUAGCAACUAAGGUUUUUGCUACCAAAUUUAGAAUAUAAAUAAUUGGUAGUUAAAACAUUGGUAGCUAAUUAGAUACUAAUUUAGAAACUAUUUAAAAAUAAUAGAAACUAAUUUAGAAACCAAAAAUUUUUUUAGUCUCUAAAAUGAUCUCUAAUUUAGUCACUAUAACAACUAAUUAUUUUUUGUCUCUAAAAUUGGUUUCUAUUUCAUGAUUUUUUUGUAGUGUAUAUUCAUUGACAAUAUUUUGGACUUUAAUUAUGCAAUUACAUAAAUUAUAUAUUGAUUCAAAAUGAUGUCAAACUAUUUCUUAUAAUUAUGUUUGCGAUGUAAUAUGAAGUAAGAUAAUUUGUAAAUAAUUGUGUUUAUGAAGGAUUUGUUAGGAAUUAGAUUGAAUGCAAGUUAAAGUUAUAAUCAAAACUUGGGAUGACAGCGAGGUAAGGUGAGUGCAAGUUUGACUAUACACAUCCACAUUCCCGAAAUAAAAAGUUAUUCUCAUCCUCGUCUCAUCCCAUUAGGUAUAAUUUUUUUUGUCUCAUUCUCAUCCUCAUUAGGUAAUGGGUGUAUCCAUAUCCACGCUCAUACUCGUUCUCACACUCUCCCAAAUAUUAAAUAAAUAAUGUUCUUACAAAACAAGAAAAAAAAUCACAAUAAAUAAAAUAUGUUAUCAAAUAACAAUUACAUGUAAUAGAAAUUUCAUAACAAUUUCAAUAUAUUGUUUUGAAAAUAUUGAGGGGGAAAAUACCUCAGAGAUUUGAGUGAAUUUGGUAAAUAUUAAACAUGGUGAAUUGUUGAAAGAGAGAAUGAAAUUUUGUGUAAAAAAAAAAAAAGUUCUUGAAAUGAAACAAAAUUAAGAAACAAGAAAAAAAGAAAAAUAUUUUUUUUAGGUUACCUAAUAAACUAAGAGUUUACAAAAUUUAAUUCAAUAAAAUUGAGGUUUACGUUUCCUAAAAUGUAAUUUAUCAUUUGAAGAAAAUUACUUAAAAUGUAAUUUAUCAUUUGAAGAAAAUUACUAGAAAAAAAAUGUGUAAUUGAGAAUAUAAUUAAAGAGAAAAUACUUUAAGAUAUGAGUGAGCUUGAUAGAUAUUAAAUAGUUAAACAAUUGGGAGAGUAUGUAAAAUAAGAGUUUUUCAAAUGGAAUGAUAAAAAAAAACAUGGAUGAGAAUAACAAAAAUAAGUUUUCUAUUCCAUACCCAAUUUAAAAUAUUAAAUAUUAUGAUGCUCAAAGUUUAUUUAUAACCCAUAAUUAAAACAAAACAAAUAUUAUAAAAGUUAUACAUACAACAAAUUUUUUUACUAUAAUUAUCAUAUAUUACUUUCACCAAUUAUUCAUAUCAUAACCAAUCAUUGAAAGGGUUGAAAAUUUUGAAAAUAAGUGGGUUUGGAAGGGGAAAAAAUGGUUUAGGGAGCAUAUUUUGUGGAAGGUUGGGUAGGGUAAUAUGAUCUUAUUUUUGAAUGAUACUUGGAUAGGGGAUAAGCCUUUAAGGAAGAAAUAUCCUAGAAUAUAUAGUAUUUUAAAACAAAAAAGAAAACUUAUAAUAAAGGAGUUUGGAUAACAUACCAUUGGACUUGGAAACUUAUAGGUAGAGGAGGGAUUGGUUUGAGUGAAAAAAACUAAUGGUCAACGAAUUAGUACAUAUUAUUCAGGAUAUUACAAUACAUAAAGAUCAACUAGAUGAGUGGGAGUGGAAGGAAGAUAGAACUUGUUGGUAUUCUAUGCAAUCUGCCUACAGGUUAAUACAUAGUUUUCCCUUAUAGGAGAAUGAUGUAAAUUUUAAUUAUCUGUGGAAAGUUAAGGCCUUACCCCAACCUUAUCUUUUGUUUAGAGGGUAUUCUUGAAUAAAAUUUCUACAAUACAUAACUUGCUCAAAAGAGGUAUCCAACUACAGAGAACUUUGUGUGCUAUCUGUAAUAGUUUAGAAGAAACCUAUCCUGUUUACAUGUAGAAUUACAAAUCAAAUUUGGAACAUGUGUGAUGUGUGGUUAGGGAGAAUGAUGAUACAUCAUUGUAAUGCUAAACAACACUUUUUAGGUUUUCAUCAUGGGGGUUUAAAUAGAAAGGGUAAUCAAAUUUGGAAAGUUGCGUGGAUAGAUCCAAUGUGGACUUGUGGAUACAUAGAAAUAAUGUUAUAUUUAAAAAUCUUAAACCAAAUGACAUAGAAAUCUAUUCUAUAGUACAUGUUAAAUAGUGAAUUUAGGAUUUAGGAUUUGUGUGAAUAACGAAGAAGUACACUAAGAUCAUAAAAUCUUUACGUAUCCGUGUGGCUAAUCUUAUUAAGCUACAUAGCCUAGAUCCUUCAAUGUAGUUCUAUGUAGGAAAAGUUUAACUUUUGUGCAUCCUUGGUUAUGUGUGUAUCUGUGCAACAAAAGCUUAGUGGAGUACAAAUCAGUGCUCUAUGGAUUACAAACAUAAUGGAACCUAGAAUAUAAUCCUGGACAAUUGUUGAGCAAAUUAUUAUACUCUGUAAUAAAUUAUGCAGCCAUUAUUUCAACUCAUAGAUUGAUACAAGGAAUAACGAGUAGUGCGAAUUUUACAUCUGUUUUUGUGUGCAGAGGGGCUACAAACUGGUUUAAAGUCUCCUCAUUUUAUAUAUUUUUUAUUAUUGAUAAAAAAAGUGGUUGAAAUGUUUUAAAAACAAAUUAAAAUUAAGAAAAAAAUACACUGACUGUAACUGGUCAAAUCUUUUAUUGUUUUAACAAUAUUUCUAUUAAUGAAAAUUUUAGAACUCCUAUUAAAAUUCUAUUUUAAUAAUUGUUAAAAGCUAUACUCCAGUUGUGUAAUUAAAGCAUUGAGAAAUUAAGAUGAUAAAAUCUUACCUGGUUCUAUUAUUCUCUCUAGCACUUCCAAUAUUGUAAGAAAACCCUCUGAAAUGAAGUAAAAUGUGACUUUAUAAUAGUCUCAACAGUUAUUCAAAAAAGAAUAUUUUCAGAUUUUGAUAAAGGUUAUAGCGGUCAAUAAGUUUAACAGUUAUUUAUUUUUAAUUUAAUGCUUACGUUCUUAUAAAUACAUGUAAAACAUAAAAAAUAAAAAAAAUACCAUUUUUUGUUCUAAAAGUUGAUUGAAUUAUUAUAAUGAUAUUUUGAAGAUAAUAAUAAUAUAUCUAAAAUGAAACAUAAAAUAUAGAUGACUGAAGCUUUGUUUUGAAAAAUUCUGAAAAAAGUGGUUAACAGAUGAUUAUUUGAAAAUAUAUAAUUAUGUAAAAUGUGUCUUAAUAUUUGGUUUAGGAUCACUCACCGCAUUGAAGCUUCUGGUUAGAAGAGUCGAAAUAGCAAUAGCUAUCAUCAUCUGGACAAAGAUUCUGACAGGCGAGUUUUAUCCAUGAAAUCUCGAAUCCAUAGGCGAGUGCGGUGUGCAUGGAAGAGUAGGAAUGGUAAUCGAAAGUGGAGAGAGAAGUGGGAGCAACAAGCUUUACCUCACACCCAACUUCUAAGUCCUCAGCUUUUAGGUCUCCACCAAUUGCAUAUGAAUACCCCUUCCCCUCCCACUUCACCCACUCUCCACUCUCCACAUACUUCCCUUUCUCUCUCACCCAAUCAUUACAAUUCACAAACACUAUAUGCGAGAAACUUCCUUAUUGGGAAAUGAGGAUAGAAAAAUUGUUUGUUUCCCAUAAAGUAAAGAAGGAAAGAAAGAUACAAAAGAAAAGAGAGGAAGAUGAAAGGGAAGCUAAAGAAAAAGAAAAACCAAGUGAGGGGUGGUGUGAAUCUAGAAAGAAUGAGGAAUAUCUUAUAACACCCCUUACAAGCAUAUUCAAAAUGGAAAAUCAAGAGAAAAUCCUUGGGAAACAAAAGGCGUGGGAAAAGAGUGUUCCUUCUCACAAAGUCAUUCAACAAGAAGUAAAAGUUGAAAAUACCUUUGAAAACAUGUUUCUUGUUGAACAACCUAGCCUUACCUUUUGUAAAGGAACACUUGCAAGCAUAGUGAAAAAAGAAGAAUCCUUAAAAGAGACUUGCAUAGAUAAAGAUGUAGUGGAUUAUUUCUCAUAUGUGCUAGGAUAUCACCAAGUGAAUGUCAAGUUAUCUAUAAGCAUCUACAAAAACAAAUUUUUAUGUGAGGUAGUGCCUAAAGAAACUUGUCAUGUCUUAUUGAGACAACCAUUGCAAAGUGUACAAAUUCUCAUAAACAAUGGUUGUAACAACGAGACUAUCUUUACACAUAAGAGAAAAAUUCUUCAUGAAGGAGAACUCAUGGGCCAAAUUAGAGUUGAUAAAACUCUAGAGCUUUUAAAAGGAAAACUUUUGUCCCCCAUGAGAAAAGAUGUUCAAAGACAUUACCCUAGAUACAUAUCUUGUUUUAAAACUACACCUAAGCCAAUGUCUCAUGAACUCUAUACUCCUUCACCUUUUGCAAAUGAUCCUUGGGAAGACACAAAUUUCAUAUUAGAGCUUCCUAGGACAACAAAAGGUUUUGAUUCCAUUUUCAUGGAUAUGGAUAAACUCUUCCUUAGAGAAGUGACAAAUCUUCAUGGUUUAUCAUCAAACAUAGUGUUGGCUAGAGCUCCAAAUUUUGAAAAUCAUCAUUUGAGGAUUCUCUUGGAAAAACUUGAAACUAAGUUAUACACUUUAAAUUCUUAUCAUCCUCAAAAGAAUGGUCAAAAUACAUUUGAAAACCUAGCUCUUUUUACUAUGCCUAAAGAAAUCAUGAAAGACAACCACAAUUCUUGGGAUGAGUAUCCUUUUCCUAAUAAGCAUGCAUACAAUGGAGUAGUCCACAAGACUACAAAUAUUUCUACAUUUGAAAUUGCAUGUGGACUUAAUCCUCUCUCGCUUUUUAAGUUGUUACCCUUUCCUAAAGGUAUUGUGCCUAAGGAAAAGGUAACCAAUAUUGAAAAUUUUCAAAUACAUAAGAGGAUUAGAGGACACAUAAAACCAUCAAAAGGAAAAUAUUGUGAAAAGUUGCCAAAAACAAAAGAAAAACAAAAAUGGCAACUUCAUACAAUUAAGUUCUCUCCAAUUGCUCACACUAACUCAUUUGCUUUGUUUCAAGAUUCCCAUAGAUGGACAUUUGAUCCGGGAGGACAAACCUUGACGAAGCAAGAGGCUGCUAUUCGAGAUCAAAUCUAUAGAUCUGGGGAUAUAUCUUCUCAAGAAGGAGGAGAUGAUGGACACCAUCCAGCCACAUCCAUCCCCCUAGAUGAAGAAAAAGCAUUGGAUUUGAGGAUAAAUCCUUUUCAAGAGGGAGGAGAUGAUGGAAGAGGCCCCAACACCAACCCUUUGAGAGGCCACCAAAAUGCUACCUUGAGGCAACCACUAGAGUCAUAGUCAAAGAGGGGUCAAGAGGACACAUUUUACAUGUCAUAGACUCUAGUGUGUCAUAGUUUUUCUUAUUUUCUAGUCAAAGUAGCAUAGUUUAAAUAUUUUUGUAAAUGUGUUGAAACAUGCAAAGUGGUACCUAAAAUGCUAACCUAAGUUUAAUUAGAGUUUCCUACUCCUAAUUAAACUUAGGUCCAUCCCACAAUUAGCCUAAGUGGAGCAUAAGGUUCUAGAACUCCUAGCACAUCUAAGAGGUUUUGUAGAUCAUCUAGCGGUUCUAGUGAAAUCGUUUAGCUACUCCUCUAACAAGACUAUAUAGCCUGUUUGCUAUGUUUUUUUUUUUUAUUUAUAUGUUUAUCUGUUGUAAUCUUAAGAGUGUGUGCAUCUCAUAUUCUGUUUUCCAGAAAUUUUGUUUUUCUUUUUUUUGUUUCUUGCUCUUGCGAGUUGCGCUUUUGUUUCAUUAAUCCGUGUGACUGUGUGUGUCAUGAAUUACCAUUUUUAAUAUGCUAGCAGAGUAGGUUGAAUGACCUGCUUUGCCUCCAAUGUUGUUUCAGUUCUUUUUCUUUCUUGUUGAAUAAUUGUUUUCUCUUGUAGACUAUUUUCUUCUUAUUGUCUUCUUCAUGUAUUUUUCUGAAACAGAAUACAGAAAGCAAGGUUUUGUUAUGAAUCUUUGCAAUAAUCCCGCAAGUUCAUAUUACUUGCAUCUUGGAGAAAAUUCUAGAACUGCGUUUAUCUCUCCUCAACUCAAUGGAGAAAAUCCCUUCACAUAAAGGGAAAAUUGUGGUAUUAAAGUUGACACCUCUCCUAAUUAAGUUUGAUGUUGUUGGUACUUAUCCCAUCAGAACCCUCCAAAAAAAGUUUUGAGCAUUCUAGAGUGCUCUGACAUUCUCAAAAAAAUUGAUUAAAGUAUUGUUAGCACUCACAUAGGUAUUUUUUAAUAUAGCAUAUGAUGACUUGAAAUAGAGAAUAACCUAGUAAUUUUUGUUUAAGGGUUACCUCUCCUAACCAUCCUUUCAAUAAGUGAUUGAUAGAUGUUAUUUAUUCACUUAUUUUUCUAAAUAUCCUUUCUGACGUUAUCGGUAAGUUCGAUAUUAAGCCUUUAAGGUUCGACCCGAGGCUUAGUAGGUUGUGUGGCGUUAUAGGUAAGUUUUGAUAUUAAGUCUCUAAGGCUCGGUCUGAGGCUAGUGGGAUGUAUGGCAUUAUAGGUAGAUUCUGAUCUAUAUAACGAUAAUUUGGAUUGAACGAGAGCCAAUCCUAGAAAAAUUCCUACGAUUAUAUAUUUUAUAGAUGAAUCCCAUUAAUGUCAUGUUUAAGAUAGUUUAAGGCAAGAAUAAAAUGUUAUAAAGGUAAUUUUGUCAUUUAAUAGUGAAUAAGGACUUAAAGUACGAUCAAAUACAAGAAAUGGGCGGAUCAAUAUAGCAUAAAAAGGAUAUACAAGGUAAAAAAAAAGGCAGAAUAAAAAUUGGGGUGAAUUGUUUUCACAAUAUUUUCGUAAUAUUGGAGUCAAUUAAUUGAUUGAUCAGUUCAACUAAUUAUAAAAAGCACAAUAAGUAUAUAUUCAAAAAUUAAACUAGUUGUUACGAGAAUUCAACCAAUUGAUUUAAACGCAAUAAGUAGAAAGUUAUUGAUAAAACAAAUAUCAGAGUAAGAGAGAGAUUGCACAGGAGAUUGCACAGGAGAUUUAUAUUUGUUCACUCUUACAUCCAUCAAGAGCUACAUCCAGUCCUCAGCAAAUUACUAAGAAUUCACUAAAGCAAACACACAAGGUUUACAAGAACACAAAACACUCUUAACCACAUACAAAAUUCAGAAACCCUAUCUGAAUCUGUUUACACCAAAUUGCAGUGAAAACAAUAAGAUUUGAAUACACCUCGAUUAUUACAAAUGAAGCACAAGAAAAAUGUAAACCCAGAAACCUUCUUUACCAAACAAGAAUGAUCCAAGAAGCAAACUCAAACUCCAAGAAUGAUUUUAAAACUUUCUAUUUUUUCUCUCUUAUGAAAAUCGUUUUUUGAAAUAAUCAGAUUACAUCCUUAUAUAAGGUAAUAAUGAUUGUAUAAGAAUUUUGAUCAUUUAAUGAAAACAAUUGUUUCAAUUAAAAAUGCAUUGAUUAAUAUAACAGAAUUAUGUUAAAAACAUUUAAUUGAUUUUCUUUAAAUAGAUGAAAUCAACAAAUUUUAAACCAGUUCUUUUAUCGAAAUAACUUAUUGAUUUCACUUAACAAAAAAGACAAACUAAAAGACAAAUCAUUUUUAAAUCCUUAAAAACCGUAAGUGUUUUAAACCGGAUUGAUACGAUAAAUCAAUAUGUUAAAAAUACUUACUAUAGUCAACAAACAUGAAUAGAAGUAAUUUCAACUUAUUAAUAUAUGAAUCAACUCAUUAAAAAAGACAGAUUUAGAAAACAAAACUUUUCAAGGAGAUUACUAUUCAAGUAACUUGGAUCAUUGUGUAAUGAAAAGUUAUAUAUAAAAAGCCAUGUUUGUUGAACUUUAAGCUCUAGAACGCAACAACACAUGGUAGAUGAUUUCUCUUCCACCGGGCACAAACCAAUCGGUUGUCGUUGGGUACAUAAAAUCAAGUAUAAUUUUGAUGGGACCAUUGAACGAUAUAAAGCUCGUUUGGUCGCCAAGGGCUUCACCCAGGUUGAAGGUAUAGACUAUAAGGAAACUUUUUCUCCUACUGCCAAGCUCACCACUAUUCGUUGUUUAUUAAUUGUUGCUUCCCGCAACUAGUAUACACAUCAACUUGAUGUGAACAAUUCAUUCAUUCAUGUGAAAUUACAAGAAGAGGUGUAUAUGACUCCAACUCCUGGUCUUCGCCCAUAGGGGGAGAAUCCGGUAUGUCUGCUUCACAAAUUAAUUUAUGGUUUAAAACAAGCAUCACGAAAUUGGUUCUCAACUUUUGCAACUACAGUUAAAUCUACUGGUUACAUACAAUCCAAGGCAGAUUAUUCACUUUUUACUAAAUCUCAAGGUAAAAAGUUUACUGUUAUUCUCAUUUACGUCGAUGACAUCCUUAAAAAAAUCUAUUUAAUGUAAAAUCAUUUGGAUUAAAGCUUACUAAAUAUUACUCUUUUGGUCAUGGAAAAGUUAUGCAAUCCAACACAUGAAAAAUAGAAAAGACAAGUAUUGUCUACACAAAAAUUGUAGAAUGUCAUCAUGCAUAUUCAGGUGGAAUGAGUUCAUGAUUCCGCAUUUGCAAACUUUGGAAAAAAAAAUAAAUUUAGUAACCCAUUUGUUCUAACUUUAUAGAUGUAAAAUAUUUAAUAGAGACAAAGAAGUGAAAAAUAUUAUAGAUGUACUUCUACUUAAAAUGACAAACAAGCUGAAUGUAAAACAAAUUUUUAUUAUACAUAACUAAAUAGUAUGCUUCACUAAAGGAUGAAUUGCAUGUAUACUUAUACUUUACAUGAAAUAAUUAGGAGAAGGAGUUCAAUUCAUUCGAUGUCGAGUUUAUUGUUUCACCAUCUCUACUCAAUUCAUCUAGAAAUAAAGCAGGCUUUGGAGGUAUUUCCAAGUCUUCAAUGUCUCCUUCAAGCAUUUCCACUACUCUAUUCAUUGAGGGUCGAUCGCUUGGUUUCAAUUGUAUGCACCAAAGAGACACUAUGAUCAUUUUCUUUGCUAUUAUCUUUUCCUCUUUAGUCAAAUAUUCCUUAUCUAUAUCUUCCUCAUCUUUGAUAUGAUCAUAGAUCCAAAGUGGAAAGUAAAGUUGACUUGAGUGGUCUACAUGGGGAUUUAGAUUCUUCCUCUUGCUCGCCAUCUCCAUCAAAAGCAUUCCAAAGCUAUAAACAUCAGCUUUAUGGGAUAUUCCUCCAAUAUUUUUGUAAAAUAGUUCUGGAGCCAUAUAUCCAAUGGUUCCUCUUGCUAUAGUCAUUGUGACGAUACUAUUAUCUAUUGGAUAUAACUUUGCCAAUCCAAAGUCAGAAACCUUAGGGAUAAAGUUUUCAUCUAGUAAGAUGUUAUGAGGUUUGAUGUCAAAAUGCAAAAUCUGCAUCUCACACCCAUGGUGGAGAUAAGCAAUCCCACGAGCCACUCCAAUUGAUAUAUUAUAUACAUUUUCAUAGCUUAAAUGUAUAUUUCUCUCUUUUGAGAAAAUAAAUUUAUCAAGAGAUCCAUUGGGCAUAAAUUCAUAAACAAGAGCACGCUUUGAGCCACUAACACAAAAUCCAAUUAACCGUACCACAUUUUGAUGAUGUAUUCUUCCAAUAGUCGCAACUUCAUUGAUAAAAUCUUGUCCAUUUGCUUUGGAUUUGCCUAACAUUUUGAUGGCCACAGAAGGCCCACUGCACAACUUUGCCUUAAAGACAUAGCCAAAUCCUCCUUCACCUAACUUCUCUUUGAAACCAGCAGACAUUUUCUUGAUUUCCUUAUAUGAAUAUCUAAUAGGUGCCAAGCUAUUUUGUUGAAGGUAAUUUUCAAUAUUUUCAUACAUUGAUGUAUGUCUUUUUCUCCAUUUACAUAUAAAAAUAACAAUUAAAAAUGGCAAUCCAAACAAAAGUUUGUAGACCCAUAAUAUAGAGAUAUACAUGAGAAUACCUGUAAUAAAUUUUUACUUUAGUGACACUUAUACUAUAAAAUGCAACAAGGUAUUUGUUAAAGUAAAUUUUCGUUCAUAAAGUCCAAACAUGACAUAUCUAUUUACUUGGUAACAUUACAAAAAGAGUAAAUUUAAUGUUUAGCAUAAACAAUUAUCAAUAAAUUUCUUUUUUUUAUGUUACUCUUUAUAUAAAUAAAUUUUUUCUGUAACAUUAAUGUGUCCUAAAACCUAAUUCAGUGAUGGUUGUAAAAUAUAAAAAAAAAACAGAUUUUUUUUAAAUAAUUUAUUUGUUUCUAUAAACAUUUUAAAUUCAAUUUGUGUUUCUUUAACUUUUUUAACGUAUUUACUAUAACUUUUUGUUAUUUACUACAACUUUUUGUCUUCUCUUAUUUCCUAACAUUAGUUCCUACAGGUUCGAUAUUCAUCAUUAAAAACAAAUUAUUACUUCUAAUUCGGUACACUUGCUGAAUUAAAGAGUAAUCAACUAUCCCAAAUAUUGAAUAAAUAACUUUCUUAAAGAGUAAAAAUCACAAUAUAAAAAAUGUUAUCAAAUAAAAAUUAGUCAUAAUAGAAAUUUCUUAACAGACUAUAAUCUAUUGUUUUGCAAAUGUUGAGAGGGAAAAUACCUCGAAGAUUUGAGUCUGGGAUAUUUGACAUGGUGAACCCUUAAAAGAUAAAGUGCAAUCUUGUGUAGUAUGAAAAGUUCUUGAAAUAAACUAAAUUAAAAAAUAAGAAAAAAUAAUAAAUUUUUAGAUUACUUAAUAAACUAAAGAUUUACAAAUUUAAUUUAAAAAAUUGAGGUUUACAAUGUAAUUCAUCAUUUGAAGAAAAUCAGAAAAGUGUGUAAUUAAGAUUAUUGUAUAGUAAAAGAAUAGUUUUUUUAAAAUGGAAUGAAUCAAAUGACUGACAAGAACAAUAAAAAUAAGUUUUAAUAGGUUGUUUAAUAAAUUAAAUAUAUUUCAGUAAUUUAAAAUGAAAACGGAUAAUUCAUAUCCAAUUUAAAAUAUUAGAUAUUAUUUACAAUUGUGCCCAAUCAAUACGGAAAUUAAAAUUUAUCUAUUAAAAAAAAAGUUAAACUUUCAACAAUAUUUUUUAGUAUAAUUGUUCUCAUAUAUUACUUUCACCAAACAGUUCAUAUUAUAACCAAUCAUUGAAAGGGUGAAAAUUUUAUAUUAUAACCAAUCAUUGAAAGGGUUGAAAAUUUUAAAACUAAAAUAGAAUUAAAAAUGACAGUUUAAUCUAAUAAAUUCUAAAUCUUAAAUCAUAAACUAUUGUAAAAAAUGCUUGGAAAUUUUUAAAAACAAAAUAAAAUUUUAAAAAAAAAACAGAGAAUUGUAUCUUGAACCGUAGCCAAAUCUUCUAUUUUUUAACAUUUCUGUAAAUGAAAAUUUUAGAACUAUUAAUAAAAGUCUAUUUUAAUCAUUUUUGUGUAAUUAAAGAAUUUAGAAAUUAAGAUGAUAAAAUUGUACCUGGUAUACAGAAUUUUAGCACUUCCAGCAGUGGCAGACUAAAUGAGCCUGAAAUGAAGGAAAAUAUGAAGUUUAGAAUAGUGGUGAUCUCUACAGUUUGAUAAAGGUUAUAGCGGUCAAUAAGUUUAACAGUUACUUAUUUUAAAGAAAAUAAAUGUUUAAUUUAAUGCAUAUGUUCUUAUAAAUACACGUAAAAUAUAAAAGAUACAAAAAUUGGUUUAAACUAAUUGUUUACAAGCUUUUCAGUUAAUUUAAAUGUAUAUUUAGAAGAUUUAAACUACAUGAGUAAGGAGCAUAAUAACGUGCUUAUCUAAAAAAAUUGGUUAAUAUAUUUUGGUUUAGGAUCACUCACCUUUGAUGCAUUGAAGCUUGUGGUUAGAAGAGUCGACAUAGCAAUCUCUAUCAUCAUCUGGACAAUGUUUCUGACAGACGAGUUGUAUCCAUGAAAUCUCGAAUCCAUAGGCGAGUGCGGUGUGAAUGGAAGAGUAGGAAUGGUUAUCGAAAGUGGAGAGAGAAGUGGGAGCAACAAGCUUUACCUCACACCCAACUUCUAAGUCCUCUGCUUUUAGGUCUCCACCAAUUGCAUAUGAAUACCCCUUCCCCUCCCACUUCACCCACUCUCCACUCUCCACAUACUUCUCUUUCUCUCUCACCGAAUGGUUACAAUUCACAAACACUAUAUGCGAGAAACUCAGAGAUUCCCAAUUUAUAGAGGCAUCUAGACCGGCUUGGUAUGGAUUCGAGUGGUAAAAGGAAGUGUAAGUGUCAGAGAAAUUGGAGCGAGAGAGGAAACGGAGAGGAAGGGAGGAGAGAUUAUGGUGCUGCAGAGCAGGAUCAACAACUCUCACUGUGUAGUUCUUGUAGUUUAUUGACUUCACAUGAUAUUGUCCAGAGUACAGAUACAACACCGUAAAGUUAUGCUCACAACCAAGUUCAUACCUUUCCUCACCACACUUUUCUGGGUCGCCUUUUAAUCGAAAUGGAUAACUGAUGUUGCUGAUUUUACCACAGGAAGAAGGGGGACAAACGUGUUCUUGGUGGUCCUUGGUAGCAGAAAUAUGGUGGAGUAGAAGUAGCAGUACCACCAACACUGCUCUCUCUCUCCACAUCAUGUCCAGACUGUUUCUCACUGAAUUCAAGUGCAAACAAAUCCAAGUUAGAUAUUUAUAUUUAAACAUCACACACUGAAUUUAUAGCUAUAAAGGACCACAUUUUUCCUUUUACAAAAUUGUUUGAAGACUUAUGAUACUUAAAACGUAGACUUUGACUCAGAAACCGCGUUAUCUUGUUUCCGCAACUCAUUUUAAUCCAUACAAAAUUUUAAAUAUUCGUGAAGUGCAUGAAUUUUGAUUUCGGUAUUUAAUCAUCUAAUUUUGUUGAUGGUGUUCUUUGAGUUUCUGAAACCAUCCUAAAUUGUUUGUUUUAAAAGCUUAUAUUUUGAAAAAUAAUUUUAAUGACCUUAGAAUUUCUGUGAGUCCCAAAAUAAUGUUUGUUUGGUUAAGAAACUUCAACAUGUGAUAGGUACAUAAAUUGUUUUAGUGAAUUUUUCCCCGAAAAUGGCCUCAUAUGUUUCUUUGUGUUAAUUUCUUGAACAUAUUCUUCUUGGACAUGGGAGCAAGAAAGAGUGUGUGGUGGGAGAACGAAGCACUAACAAUUUUCUGUAUGUGUAAAAGGUAAAGGAGAGGGAAAAACAUAUGGAAGCAAUUCCAAACACGUAACCCAAAAUUCCAGCAUACUUUUCAACUUGUGGCCUUGAAAACUCAAUAAUUAAAAGUGCGUUUCGAAGAAUUUGACGUAGAUCUCCAAAAUUAUAAUGUCGCAAAAAUGUAUAUGACCUUGUGGACUUUGACCUUGAUAAAGUUAAUAAAAGUGAACAACUCAGAGAUAAUUCUUGAUAGAAUUAAACACUUGAGUUACAUAGGAUGAGCCGUGAGAUCCUCACUCGGCUAAUUAGUAAUUGAAAGAAUAAAAAAUCAUUAAGCAAUUUUUUUUGGUAGAAAAGCUAGCAGGAAAUUUCUAAACCAUGUUUUCUGCAUGCAGGUAUCAAAACCCUCAAGUGCAUGUAGUUUCAUUUGAUGUGGUUGUCAUUAAUACUUCAUGAUCCUCUUCAUCUUGUUCGUGAUUACUAUCUUCUUGAGCACAAUUGGAAGCAUGAUUAUCACCUUUUGAUCUGCACUUAUUUGCAUAAUGGCCACGUUUAUGGCAAUUAUAACACUNNNNNNNNNNNNNNNNNNNNNNNNNNNNNNNNNNNNNNNNNNNNNNNNNNNNNNNNNNNNNNNNNNNNNNNNNNNNNNNNNNNNNNNNNNNNNNNNNNNNACAUGGUAGCUAUUUCAGCAAAGGUCGUGGUGGCUAAAAUCAUGGAGGCGCUUGACGCGGGGGACGUGGUCGCGGAGGACGAGGAGGCAUUUAUAAUAAAUCAAAUGUUGAGUGUUAUAAUUGCCAUAAACGUGGCCAUUAUGCAAAUAAGUGCAGAUCAAAAGGUGAUAAUCAUGCUUCCAAUUGUGCUCAAGAAGAUAGUAAUCACGAACAAGAUGAAGAGGAUCAUGAAGUAUUAAUGACAACCACAUCAAAUGAAACUCCAAACAAUCAGACUUGGUAUUUGGAUACAGGUUGCACGAAUCAUAUGUGUGGUCAGAAGGAGCUGUUUGCAGAUUUGGAUGACUCAUUUCGAACAAAAGUGAAAUUCGGUGAUGACAGGUUCGUUCCGGUGAUUGGAAAAUGGUGAAUUCUUAUUACAUUAAAGAAUGGUGAUCACAGGUACAUUUAUGAUGUUUUCUAUGUACCUGACAUGAAAAGUAAUCUGUUGAGUGUGGGACAACUGGCUGAAAAGGGUUACGUGAUGCACAUAGUUGAAAAUAAAUUCUCAAUUUUUGAUAGGUAAUUUGAUUCUUAAAACCUUUUUAUCAAAAAACCGCAUGUUUCCAGUAGAUAUUCAUAUGGGUGAUUUAAAGUGCUUGAAUGUAAUAAUGAAUAAUGAAUCGUGGUUAUGACAUUUACGCUUUGGGCACUUAAAUUUUCAGAGUUUGGAAAAUCUUUCCAAAAGAAAUUUAGUGAAUGGUUUACCCCAUAUUUAUCACCCUAAUCAAUUGUGUGAGGCUUGCAUCUUUGGAAAGAAUCACAGGAUACCAUUUGUUAAGGAGUCUUGGCGUGCAAAAUUUCCUUUGGAGCUUGUUCAUACAGAUGUUUGUGGCCCGAUGAACAUAUCAUCAGUUGGAGGUAAUAAGUAUUUUUUAACCUUUAUUGAUGAUUUUUCAAGGAAAACCUGGAUUUAUGUAUUGAAAAGCAAGGAUGAGGUAUUCCACUGCUUUAAAAUAUUUAAAGCAUUUGUUGAAAGAGAGAGUGNNNNNNNNNNNNNNNNNNNNNNNNNNNNNNNNNNNNNNNNNNNNNNNNNNNNNNNNNNNNNNNNNNNNNNNNNNNNNNNNNNNNNNNNNNNNNNNNNNNNUGAUGGAGCGACCAAGAAGGCAACAACGACAACCUGUACACCUUCAAGAUUGUGAAGUAAAUCUUGAUGGUGAAGUUGAUGACAAUGGAGAUUUAGUUCACUUUGCUUUUCUUGCAGAAUCAGAACCUGUGAGACUUGCCGAUGCCAUUCAACACCCGAAAUGGCAAAAGGCUAUGAAUGAAGAAUUGAUGGCGAUUGAGAAAAACAAUGUCAUGACUCAAAUUGGGAAGGUUGUUCCAAAUCAGAAUUAAGGGAGGAUGUUGGUUAUUAAUUCAUAUUUUAUUAUUAUUAAUUCAGAUUUUAUUACCCUUAAACUAUUUUACCGUUAUAUUGCAUUAAUGGUCAAUUUACAGGCCUGUUAGUAUUCCUAUUUUAUAGCUUCCAGUAAUUGUGAUUUUAUUAUAUAUAUGAUUGAGUAAAUCAAAAUGAAUAACUUUAGUUUUGUAAUUUUUUGCAAUUACGUUCAAUCGGUUGCUAUAACCUUUUGCCUUCUCUUAUUUCCUUCAAUUAGUUCCUACACACUCACCAUUUAACGUUUUGUAUAAAGUGACGUUUUAUGUGUAUAAUUAAAAUUGUCGUAAUUUAUUUGAUCGGAAAACGAUUUCAGUGAAAAAACAACACAUAAACAUCACUAUAUACUAUACAAUAUGAUGUUUUUAACUAUCAUUAUUUUAAGAAAAAUUUGAAAAACAAUACUUAAGUUUCAAUAUACGUAAAUUGAAUACUAAAUAAAUAGAAUUCAGUCACCAAUUUAUAAUCUCAUUAUUUAAUAAAUUUGUUUUCAUAAUUAAACAACUAAACAAAUUUAUAAUACCAUUUAAUUAAAUCUAUUUUCACAAUAAAAAAAUUAAAUACUACUCAUAGUUAUAAUAAACAUUCAUUUAUUGCAUUGAAAACUGAACACAAAAUUAAUAGUUGUUCAAAAGUACACCAAGAUAAAUACACAAAAUAUUUUUAAAUAUGAUAACAUCUUAUUAGACUAUUACAAUCAUCUUCCUUAAUAUUUACUUCCACCACUUGAUUCUAUUAUUUUGUUGGGUGAUAAAGCACAAUUUCCAACCUAAGGUGCCUACAUCUAAUGCUUAAAAUAGAUAAAAAAUAAUUUCAGAUUAUUCAUUUUCAAUUUUUAUAAUUAUAAAAUAAAAGAAGACAUUAAUAAUAAAUAUUUAAGUAUAUUAAGUUAUACCUCAUUCCAAUUGACAUAAUUUUAGGUUAUUUGAAAAACCUUUCUUUAACAUCAUUAAAAGUUCUAGAUGUAUUAUAAACUAGAGAGUUAUAAAAAUAAAGAAAUGUAUUUUUCUAUUCAAGAAUAACAAUUAAAUAUACAAUCAUUGUAAUUUUGAAUUUCUUUACAGUUUUUAUUAAAAAAAAUUACAAUUGCAAUUACAACUACAACUAAUUUAUUUUAUUGUUAUCCUUAAUGGGAUGUUUUUUCUUACUCUUGAAAGAAAUAAAAUAAUGUAUAUAUUUGUAGUAGGCAAAGCUGUAGUAGGCAAAUAUAGGUUUCAAUAUUUUUCCAUCUUCUAGCCUGAAACAAUCUCAAAUUAUAGAAAAGCUUAGCAUUUAGUUUGCUAAAUGUAGACAACACUAAUAAUUAGCAAGAUAUUGAUUCUAAUUAUCUAGUGGUCUGUUGGAGAGAGUUCAUAAAAUUUAGUUAAAGCGAGAUUGUAGAUAAUCUGCUGAAAAGAGUUAUUUAUGUAUUUUUCAUUAAUUUCUCAUAGAAAUUAAUAGUAAACGCUCUCUCAACCAUUUAAACAAAUGUCAUUUUAAUGUACAAUCAACAAACCAAUGUCAAUGAAGUCUAUGUUUCGUUAAAGCCACGUAAGAUUUUACUUGAGUGAAUGAAUAUUAUGGUAAAGAAUACUUUGUUUUAGAUGAUUAAGGCAAGUAAAAUAAGAAUAUGGAAUGUGUGUACGGUAAGUUCGUUAAUUUAAGAUUUAUUCAUAAAGAAUCAUUUCAUUGAUAUAAUAGGUUUCUAUUUGUUCUUAGAUUUUUUUAUGAAUAAAUAUAGUCUACUCAUAUAUUGUUUUUGUUAACACAUGAAUUUUAAUAUAGUUUUUUAUUUUUAUUUUUUAUUUUUUUUAAUAAUAUAUUUUUUCAUGUGAUGACACUCACAUAUUAUUGCUAUUACUUGAGGUGUCAACCUAACUGAAAUUUCAAGUUAUAUAAUGAUGCUUGACAUGAAAGUUUUUUAUAAAAAAAAAAUAAAAAAAUUAUAUUUGGUUCAUACAUAUACAUUAUAUACAUUUGAUCCAUUUAGAUAGUAACGUUCUAAUGAAAAAGUAAAUUUAAUAUACUUAAACAAAUAUCAAUAUAUUUGGUUGUUGGAGUUGCUAAAUAUAAUGUGUUUCUUUUUCCUAUGCCACAAGAAAAUUUUGUCUUUAACAUUGGUAUACAUAUCUUAGACCAAAUUGACAAAUGGUUACCGAAAUUGAAAAAUAUUUUUUUAGUAAAAUAUGUUUUUCGUCAUUCUAAAUUUUUUUAAACAGUUUUUCUUUCAAUUAUUUUGACUUAUUUUCAUACAUCUGUUUGGAAUUUGAGUUUUGGUUCUGGAGGUAACAUUUAAUAGCGUUUAUUAAGCACUAUUCAAACUACUCUAAAUAUAAAAGUGGUAUAUUUUAAAAAUAAUGGAAAAAAUAUUUAGAGUGAUAAAAAUAUAAUUUUGAGAAAUAUAAAUAAAUAAUAUUUUUUUUCUGCGUUUGUUUAUUGCAACGUAGGGAUCAGAAUAAACAAAUUAAGCCAAUUUUAUGUAUGUCCACUUCUUUUACUGCAAACUAUAGCAUAUAAAAAUUCUUGUCCAGAUGAUAUUAAAAUUAAAAAAAACUGUAAAUUAAGUUGUUGUAAAGUGUGUGAACUUUAUAUAUAUCUCUUAUAAUUAAAGCAUAGGUAAAUUAAGGUGAUAAAAAUUGUAAAUAUAAUUUUAAGGAAUUAGUUUGAGAACCCAAUUAAAGAAGUAUUUCAUGACUUACUUAAAUAAAGACGAGACAUAAAUAUAUUAUAGUAAAUAAUGGAAAAAUGAUCGAAAUAAAUUUUUAUAUCCUGAUUGAGAAACAAUAUUAAUAAUGCAUUUGAUUUUUUUUGUACUUUAAAUAUUUCCAAAUUAUUCUAGGACUAAAAGUUCCACCACAUGUAGAACUGUGGCGGAAAUAUCUUUCCAUUAAUAUCGUGUGUCUUAUAUAAACACUUGAUAUGCACGUAUAUAAUUGACGCAGUCAAAUGACAAUAUACUUUGAAAUUAAUAAUUAUUGAUUUAUUUUUAUCAGUUGAACGUAGGUAUACACUAACAUUUAAUUUAAUGUGUUAAAAUUUUCACAUCCAUUAAAAAUUAGAAUAUUAAAUGAAUACAAAAUAUAAUCCAAACUCUCUAUCGAAGUUAAAUGAAUUUGAACAAAUCAUAUAACUAAUUCGACAUCAGAAUUCAUAUGUUCUUUUCAUCAGACAACAACAACCCAAGUUGUGUGGCUUCUUCCUCAUCAUCAACUUAUAAUUUCUAACCUCUCUGGUACGCUUGUUAUUACAAGGCUAUUUUUUUUUUUUCAAAUUCCAUAUAUUAUGUAUUGUAAAACACAUAAAUUCUUUUAGGUGAAACUUAUGUGUCAACUUUCAAUCAAUAUUCACUGUCGGUCAUUAAUUCAAAUUUUAUUUACUAAAUUAGAGUUUGAAUUAGUCUUGAAUUGUUGUCCUAGUUUACAGUCAGUAUUACGUUAGUGGUUUUGAAAGUGUACAAGGCUAUUAGUAUUGUGUUAGUGUUUAGUUAUUACUUAUAUUUUAUAGUUUUUGGUAGUUGUAAUUUUAUUUUUAUAUAUUGUCGAAGUAAAUCAACAAAAUGCAUGCAGUAUAUUGUCUUCUAUUAUUUCUUUCAAACAGUUUCUACAAUUGUUAUCAAAUCCAGAUUGUCUGUUAUCAUGAAAUCUACCUAAUUAUUGGUCCCUAUCUUUGAUUGAAAAAAAUUACAAUCGAUGAUGCGUGCAGAUGAGAGUUUUGUUCGAUUAUCAUGAGUUAUGGGAUGUCAUUGAGAAUGGAGUGUCUGCAUUAGCUGCUAAUGCAACUGAGACGCAAUGAGUAGCGCAUCGUGACCAGAAGAAGAAGGACAAUAAGACUUUGUGUCUCAUCUAUCAAGGGAUGAAUGACGAAACCUUUGAGCAGAUAAAAGGAGCAACAACUGCAAGUGAAGCUUAGACCAUUUUGUUAACCAAUUAUAAAGGCGAUGACAAGAUCAAGAGGGUGUGCCUUCAAACUUUAAGACGCCAAUAUGAACUGCGGUAGAUGGAAACCACAAAGACUGUUGAUGUUUAUAUCAAUAGAGUUCUUGCCUUAACGAAUGAGAUGAAGACCAAUAGUGAAACACAUUCGGAGCAGGCAAAGGUGGAGAAGAUUUUGAGGUCUUUAACUCCCAUAUUUGAACAUGUUGCCGCAAUUGAAAAGGCCAAUGCCCUUUUAACAAUGACAGUAAGGUUAUUGUCCGGUUCCCUACGAACGUAUGAGUAGUGGAUGAAUGACAAUAAGAUUGAAAAACCAAUUGAACAGGCUUUACAAGCACAAUCCUCAAUUCCAAGCCUCAAUUGGUAACUCCUAUCAUAAGCACGGUAGUUCACAAGGUAGAGGACGUGGACGUGGUGGUAGCUAUUCCAAUAAAGGUUGUGGUGGCCAGAACCAUGGAGGUGCUGAGCAAAACAACACUGGUUCCAAUCACAAUCUGAGUUCAAAUAACUCUUGGCGCGAAGGACGUGGUCGCGGAGGACGUAGGGACAUGUAUAAUAAAUCAAAUGUGUAAUGUUAUAACUACCAUAAGCGCGACCAUUAUGCAAAUGAAUGUAGAUCAAAAGGUGAUAAUCAUGCUGUCAAUUGUGCUAAAGAAGACUAUAAUCACGAACAAGAUCAAGAGGAUCAUGCAUUACUAAUGGUAGCCAUAUCAAAUGAAACUCCAAACAAUCAGACGUGGUAUUUAGAUACAGGUUGCAAGAAUCAUAUGUGUGGUCAGAAGGAGCUGUUUGCAUAUUUGGAUGACUCAUUUCGCACAAAAGUGAAAUUCGGUGAUGGCAGAUUCGUUUCGGUGACUGGAAAAGGGCAGAUUCUUAUCACAUUGAAGAAUAGUGAUCACAGGUAUAUCUAUGAUGUUUUCUAUACCUGAUAUGAGAAGUAAUCUAUUGAGUAUGAGACAGUUUGCCGAAAAGGGUUACGUGAUGCACAUAGUUGAAAAUCAAUUCUCAAUUUUUUAUAAAGAAGGUAGCUUGAUUCUUAAAUUUUUUUUAUAAAAAAAUCGCAUGUUUCUAGUAUAUUUUAAUAUGGGUGAUUUCAAGUGCUUGAAUGCAAUAAUGAAUAAUGAAUCGUGGUUAUGACAUUUACGUUUUGGCCACUUAAAUUUUCAGAGUUUGGAAAAAUCUCUCCAAAUUGGUUUACCCCAUAUUCAUUACUCUGAUCAAUUGUGUGAGGCUUGCAUUUUUGGAAAGAAUCACAGGAUACCAUUUGUUAAAGAGUCUUGGCGUGCGAAAUUUCCUUUGCGCUUGAUCAUACAGAUGUUUGUGGUUUGAUGAACAUAUCAUCAAUUGAAGGUAAUUCGUAUUUUCUAACCUUUAUUGAUGAUUUUUCAAGGAAAACCUUUGAAAAACAAUGAUGAGGUAUUCCACUACUUUAAAAUAUUUAAAGCAUUUGUUGAAAGACAUAGUGGCAGACUAAUUAAGAUGGUGCGUAGUGAUGGAGGGGUGAGUACAAGUCUAAUGAGUUCAAAAGACAUUGUGAAGAACUUGGGUUGCAGCAUAACAUAACAUGUCCCAACACUCCUCAACACAACGGAGUAGCCGAGAGAAAGAAUAGAACAAUCAUGGAUAUGGCGAGGAGCAUGCUUAAAGCGAAAGGUAUGCCAAAUUAUUUUUGGGCUGAAGCUAUAACAUGUGAGGUAUAUUUGAUAAACAUAUCACCCAUUUGGAGUGUUCCUAACACAACUCCGAUUGAGGCAUGGAGCGGAUUCAAACCCAAUGUGCAACACUUGAAGGUAUUUGGGUCAAUUACUUAUGCUCAUGUCCCCAAGGCAACAAGAUCGAAGUUGGAUGAUAAGGCAAUGUAGAUCACUUUCAUUGGAUAUAAGCAUGGGGGAUACAAACUGUACAAUCCAAUGACAAAGAAUGUGAUUGUUAGCCGUGAUAUUACAUUUGCCGAAGAUGAGGAAUGGCAAUGGAAUGCAGCAGUUGAAAUGGAUUCGAAAAAACGAUAUAUUUACAUUUUGAACGAUGAUGUGAAAGAUGGAGUAACUCUUGAAGCACCUGUCGUUCAACCUGAAGUUGUAAUUCAACUUGAAGUUGCAGCUCCAAUUGCAACUACGAUGGAGCGACGAAGAAGGCAACAACGACAACCUGUACUCCUUCAAGAUUACGAAGUAAAUCUUGAUGAUGAAGUUGAUGACAAUGGAGAAUUGAUUCACUUUGCUUUACUUGCAGAUUUAGAACCCGUGAGACUCGCAAAUGCCAUUCAAUACCCCAAAUGGCAAGAGGCUAUGAAUGAAAAAUUGAUGGCGAUUGAGAAAACAAUACAUGACAACUCACUGAUCUUCCGAAAGGACACAAAGCAAUUGAUGUGAAGUGGGUGUACAAGAUUAAAGUGAAAGCAAAUGGUGAGAUUGACAGAUACAAGGCAAGGUUGGUAGCAAAAGGAUUUGAGCAAAGAGAAGGCUAUGAUUACGAAGAAAUAUCUUCUCCUAUAGCUCGAAUGGAAAUAGUGAGAUUAAUCAUUGCUUUGGUUGCACAAAGGCAAUGGAAAAUUCACCAAAUGGAUGUCAAGUAUGCGUUUCUAAACGACCUACUUGAUGAAGAGGUUUAUGUAAAGCAGUCGUCGGGUUUCAUACAAUCCGGCAAAGAGGAGAAGUUGUACAGACUAACUAAGGCUUUAUAUGGUCUUAAACAGACACCAAGAGCUUAGAACAAAAGGAUUGAUUCAUUUUUCUUCAUGCCACUGGAUUAAAAAAAUGUGCAUCAGAUCAUGGUCUUUAUGUAAAGACUAAUGAUUAUGGAGAUUUGCUAAUUUUAUAUCUCUAUAUUGAUGAUGUGAUUUUUACAGUAAGUAAUCUCAAAAUGAUUGGUGACUUCAAGCAUAUCAUGAUGAAGGAAUUUGAGAUGUCUGAUCUCGGUCUUAUGUCCUACUUUUUGGACAUUGAAGUCAUCCAAGGAGACGAUAAAAUCUUUAUUCAUCAGAGAAAAUUUGCUGCUGAGUUUUUAAAGAAGUUUAAGAUGGAGGAUUCAAACUCAGUUAAGACUCCAAUUGAAACUGGAAUUCAGCUUACGAAGGAAGGUGACUCACUUGUACUAGACUCGACUUAUGUUAUGCUGUGGGAUUGGUUCGUCGGUACAUGGAGUCACCUCGACGGGUUCAUUUACAAGUUGUAAAUAGAAUUAUGCGCUACAUCAAAGGUACUACAACUCUUGGUCUAUUUUACUUUUCAUCUAAGAAGAUUGAGAUUGUCGAAUACUCAGAAAAUGAUUGGGGUAGAGAUUGAGACGAGAGGAAGAGCACGAGUGGUCAUUGUUUUAUGCUCGGAAAAACUGUUUGUUUGUGGUCAUCAAAAAAACAGUCAAUUAUUGCAUUAUCCACUUGUGAAGCUGAGCAUGUAACAGCAGCAACAAGUGCUUGUAAAUCAAUUUGGCUCAACAAUAUUAUGACUCAAAUUGGUAUUAAUCUCGAUGUUCCAAUCAAUAUUUAUUUUAACAAUGUCUCUGCAAUUAAUCUAGCAAAAAAUCCGGUUUUUCAUCAAAGAAGUAAACACAUUGAUUUUCGAUAUCACUUCCUGCGAGACCAAGUUAGGAAGAACAAAUUAGAAUACUGCAGAUCAGAAGAUCAGAUAAUAGAUAUUCUAACUAUGCCAUUGAAGAUCGAUGCUUUCAUCAAGUCAAGAGAUCUGUUGGGCAUGAAGGUUGUUGGUCAUUAAUUCAAAUUUUAUUUUUACUAAAUUAGAGUUUAAAUUAGUCUUGAAUUGUUGUCCUAGUUUACCGUUAGUAUUGCGUUAGUGAUCUAGUGGUUUUGAAAGUGUAGUCCUAGUUUAUAAGGUUGUUAGUAUUGUGUUAGUGUUUAAUUAUUGCUCCUAUUUUGUAGCUUCUGAUAGUUGUAAAUUUUUUUUUUAUAUAUUGUAAAAGUAAAUCAACAAAAUGUAUGAGUUCAGUACUAUAUUGCCUUCUAUUAUUUCUUUCCAAUAGUUUCUAUACUUUCUACCAAAUAAUCUGUGAUAAAUUCCCUUUUGUACAAAAAGGAAAACAAUUUGAUGUAAAUAGUCGAAAAUUGAUCAAAGAUGGUUCUAUUCUUGAAAACCUAAAUUUAUAAGAAAAUUGACAUAUUAAAAAGAAAAUUCAGUGUAGAUUAGAAUUUAUGUUAUUAUUUUAAAGUGUCAAUAAAAAUAUUGUUGUAUCGAUGAGCCUAUCAUCUGCUUAAGACUAAGGUUGUGUACUCAUAGGUCAAGGUUCAACCCUUGCCAUCAGAAAUAUUAUCUAAACUGAAAGAGUUAUUAGGGUUAUUUGGUUUCAACGAGUGAUUUACGAGAAGAAAGAAACUUUCACAAAUCAAAUAAUAAAAAAUUAAUAAAUUUUUUAGAAAAAAGAUUAAACCUUAUUUUUUCACAAAUAUGCAAAAUUUUGUGGAAAAUCAUGGUUAAAAUAUAUAUUAUAUUAAAUAUAUAUUUUAUAAUUAUUAUAUUAAAUAUACAUUAUUAUUUCCUUUAUAUUCAUAUUCAUAUUUAUAUUUAUAUUAUAAUAAAAUAAGUAUAAUUAACUAUGUAAUAUAAUAUAAAUAAUAAUAAUUAUUAAAAUAUUAAUAAAUAUAUAUAAAAUGAUAAUUAAAAUAAAAUACUAAUAAUAAAUUUAUGAAAUAACAACUAUAAUAAAAUAAUUAAAAAAGUUAUAAAUAAUAAAUAAUAAUUAUAAAAAUAAAUAAUAGUAAUAAUAGUAAAAUUAAAAUUAUUAAUUAAUUAUAAAAUUAUUAUCUUUUAUUUAGUUAAAAUUAAUUUAUAUUAAUAUAAUUAAAUUCAUUAUUAUCUAUAAAUCUAUAAAUAUAUAUAUAUAUAUAUAUUAUUUUAUAACUUUUAAAAAUUUAUUAUAUCUAUGAAAUCACUCACAAAAUUUUAUAAAUUUUUUCUUAACUUUUCACUUUUAUUUUACUUAAUCCAAACAAUCUGACUUUAUCUUUAAAUUCACUUUUUCAAAUCUACAGGGGAGUUCUCUGAAGAAGAAAUUAGGACUGCGGUUUGGAAUUGUGAAAGUUCUAAGAGCCAUGACCCUGAUGGAUUUAAUUUUGGUUUCAUAAAGUUUUGUUGGGAAAUUUUAAGGAUGGAUGUGAUGUCAGCGGUGAAGGAUUUUGCGACAAAGAGCCAUUGGCCUAGAGGUUCAAAUGCUUCCUUCCUUUGUCUUGUUCCAAAAGUUGAAAAUCCUUUGCAGCUUGGUGAGUUUAGGCAUAUUUCUUUGAUAGGAUGUUUGUAUAAAAUUAUCUCAAAAGCGUUGUCUCUACGUUUGAAAAAGGUGAUUAGCAAAGUGAUUGAUGUUAGACAGUCUGCUUUUCUUGAAGGUAGGGGUUUGUUGGACAGUGUGCUGGUAGCGAAUGAGGUGCUGGAAGAAUAUAAAAGGAAAAAGAAGAGUUGUGUGUUCUUCAAAGUUGACUAUGAAAAAGCAUAUGACUCGGUUAGCUGGGAGUUCCUAUAUUAUAUGUUGGAAAGAUUGGGUUUUUGUGCUCAAUGGAUUCGAUGGAUAAAGUGUUGUUUAGAAUCUGCUUCAGUCUCUGUAUUAGUGAAUGGCAGUCCAACUGGGGAAUUUACUCCUCGGAGGGGACUUCGUCAAGGUGACCCGCUUGCUCCGUUCCUCUUCCUUAUAGUUGCAGAAGGGUUGGCUGGGGUGUCUAGGAUGGCUGAAGAGAAGAAUUUGAUUGAUAGUCUGGAGGUUGGAAGAGAUAAGGUGAAGGUUAGUAUGUUACAAUAUGCUGACGAUACAUUAUUCUUUUGCGAAGCGAAUACCAAAAGUGUUUUUAAUAUUAAGGCUAUCUUGCUUUGCUUUGAGCUCGCUUCUGGGCUUAAGGUGAAUUUUUUAAAAAGCAGUAUUGGCGGGAUGGGGUUGGAUCAAUGUUCGCUUCAGCGUUUUGCAGCUACUCUUAACUGUAAGGUGAUGGUAACUCCUUUUGUCUAUUUAGGGUUACCGGUAGGAGGUUGCCAUAAGCGCAGUGUUUUUUGGAACGGGGUGUUAGAGAGAGUUCAGGGCAAGCUGUCGAGGUGGAAAGGCAGGUGUUUGUCGAUGGCUGGGAGGAUCUGUUUGAUUAAUUCAGUCCUCUCCUCAGUUCUGUUAUUCUUUAUGUCCCUAUUCAAACUGCCAUCUGGGGUGGCUGACAAGUUAGUUCGGAUCCAAAGAAAUUUCCUUUGGGGGUGGGGUUCUGACAGAAGGAAGAUUGCUUGGGCCUCUUGGAAUAAGGUUUGUGAGCCUCGGGACUACGGGGGUCUUGGAAUCAUUGACUUAAAGACUUUUAACCUGGCCCUGCUAGGCAAGUGGAUUUGGAGGUGGGGGUCGGCCAAGGGAGGUUUGUGGAAAGAGAUUCUUGACUCUAAAUAUGGUGGAUGGAGGAAUUUGAGAGCGGAAGGUAAACCCUGCAGGGGUUCUCUUUNNNNNNNNNNNNNNNNNNNNNNNNNNNNNNNNNNNNNNNNNNNNNNNNNNNNNNNNNNNNNNNNNNNNNNNNNNNNNNNNNNNNNNNNNNNNNNNNNNNNNNNNNNNNNNNNNNNNNNNNNNNNNNNNNNNNNNNNNNNNNNNNNNNNNNNNNNNNNNNNNNNNNNNNNNNNNNNNNNNNNNNNNNNNNNNNNNNNNNNNNACUGGUUUAAUGGUGUUUGGAUUUGGCAUUUGUGCUGGCGUAGAUCCCUCUUUGACUGGGAGAAGUUGUUGGAGGAGCAGUUGAGUCAGUUGCAGCAAGGGGUGAAGAUGGAUGUGGGAGGGGUGGAUAGCUGGGUCUGGAAGGCUGAGGGGUCUCAAAGUUUUAAUGUUAACUCAGCUUAUAGCAAGGUAAGGAGGGUUAGUGAUGGGGAGUCCUCUCCGACCUACUGUAGGUUGUGGAGGUGUAAAGCCUUGCCUUCUGCUGUAUUCUUGGCCUGGAGAGUUUUGGAAAAUAGGAUUGCAACUAGGGUUAAUUUGGUAAGGCGCGGGAUGGUGGUUGAAAAUCCUGUAUGUUGCUUGUGUGGGAAGGUCGAUGAGUCGUCGAGUCACUUGUUCGCCGUUUGUGACUUUGCUUGGAGGGUCUGGUGCCUUUACUUUGAGUGGCUUGGAGUGUCGUUCGUAAUCCAUUCGGAUCCAAUGCAAAAUUUUAUUCAAUUCAGGUUGAGUCAGGCAUCUGUUUCGGUUAAUGAUGUUUGGGGGGCAAUUUGGGUUGGAAUUGUGAGUGAAAUCUGGAAGCAUAGGAACUCGGUCGUCUUUAAUGGAGGAGUGGCAGAUGCGUUAGAAGUUUUUCCCUCAACACAAGUAAAGGUGUGGUCUUGGAUUGCUGCAAAGUCCUGCGAAGUUUAUUUUUCCUAUCCCUGUUGGGUUCUGGAUCCUUUGGCCUGUAUACGGCUGAUUCGGUAAAGCUAGUUAGCGCUUGGUUUGGUUGGUCUUUUGACCGACGGUUUUGGGUGUCGAGUUAGGAGUUAAAUUGUAUGUGUGUUUGUAAAAGGGUUGAACCACCCCUGAAGUGGUUCUCAUUUAUUGAUUUUUUAUUGCUGAUAAAAAAAAAAAAAAACUAAUCCAAACAAAGGAUUAUAGUUGAAUCGAUCUUGAAAAACAAACUUAGAAAUUAAAGGUAUUCGAAAAAGUUAGAUUUUUGUUAUGACCAAUAAGAAAAUAAAAGAUCUCAUUGACCAAAUCAAACCAAUAAAGGAAGCAUUUUCAAAACUUUUCUUACUUACAAAAAAGCUUUUAAAAAUUAUUUUAUUUUAUAUUUUUUUUCUUCUUUUCCAUUCAUUUUUGACAAAACCAAAAAAAAAUUUCCAGAACACCAUCCCAUAAUUUGAUCACCAUAUAAUUUAUUUUGGAUGAGCAUUCGCUAAAUUCAAAAAUUGAAAGUCGAAAUUAUAUUUUUGAGAAACCAAAUUUUGAUGACAUAUGGAAUGACCUUCUUCCACCCUUGGUCAUUAUCGAAAAAAAUAUCUCCAAAAUUCGGAGAAAUUUUCUUUUGAAAAUAAACCAAAAUCUCACCAUGAUCAUAAAUCAGUGCGCUACUUGGAGAAAAAAAGUCCGGUUGAGUCACUGCACACCAAUUCCCACGCUCAAGCUUUUCCACUAAAAUUGUUUGAGAAAUUGAACCACUAAAUCAAAUAGCCAAAUCACGUAAUCACCAAAUUUUCUACUAAUUCACUAAAUUGGUUAAUAACACAAGCAAAUACUGUAUUGGUUUUCAACCAAUUUGAACAAUCAACACACCAUAUUUUUUCACCAAACCUGUACAGUAAAACAACAACACAAACAUAUUUUGUUUCCUGCUCCAAAAUUUGAAUCAUAAAAUGCAGUGAAUCAUCACACAAAAUAAUUUUUUACAAAAACAUUAUCUGCAGCUUAAACCAAUACACAAAUUGCUUCAAAAACUCCACCACAAAAUCAACGCGACUUUUUACAAAUCACUAAUUCAGGAACAUAAUAACUAAACUUCUCUAUUUUUCGAAAAUUUCACAGGAUUGAACAAUUCCUAUUGGAAUUCGCACUCAAAUGGAACUCUAGUGUAGAAUUAACGCACCUCUUACUCAGCUGUCAACGUCACUGGAAUUUCACCGUUUCCAACUUCAAUUUGCUUGAGUAAUUUUUCGUUCGCACAAUACAAAUUGCUUCAAAUUCAGUUUACAAGAUUGGAUCAGAACCACCGAAAGUAAAUCACCAUUCCAAUAAUAUUCUCCGUUCACUGAUUUUAGGUCACCUUAAACUGCUAUUUCCGUUCACCGAUUCCGUUUGUCGGAAUCCGCAAGAGUUCUAUUCACAAAUCGCAAAUAAAGAAUUGCACCGAUGCGCGCCAAUGAAUUCAUUUUUGUUUCUGCCUUUUCAAUAUCGUGCCAAGAACUCCAGCAAAAUUGAUGAACACAAUGGGAAAACGUAAACCGAAAAGUAAUCAACACCAUUGUAGGGCAGUGGUCUCGAACUUGAGAAGAAGAAUGUCACCCAUAAAUUUAUAUGAUGUCAACUUCAAAGCAAUUGACCCAAUGUAGGAUGAUCUUAUGAUUAUCACGUUAGAAGUAGAGAACUUUACACUCAUGAAAAUCCUGGUGUAUCAGGGAAGCUCACUACACAUUUUCUACUGGAAAACCUUUAAAAAGUUGCAAAUCCCAGAUGUUGACAUCCAAAGCUUAUGGUGAUGAGAUAGUGUGAUUAUUGGGAGCGAGUAUAAAUAUGAAAGGUUACAUUGACUUGUUUUCUAAUUUGGGAGAAAGAAGUUUGAAAAGUCAGACUAUCAAGAUCUAAUACUUGAUAAUCGAUACAAAUACCUCAUACAACAUUCUCCUGAGAAGAUUAUCCUUAAAUAACCUAGAAGCUAUAGUGUCAACAUCAAACUUGACAAUGAGGUUCCGUUAUGCAUCCAGAGACAUCAUCACGAUCCAUGUCAACUAAAAAACCGCGAGAGAAUGCUAUGUUAUCAUCUUGAGGAUCACACCCUUAUAUCCUAGUUGAGAUUGCCAAACGACAAAUGAUUGACCUCAAUCCAUAAUAAAUGAUGAUGUAAAGGUCAAGCUUGACAAAGACACAAUCACCAUCUGAUUAAGGCACAAAGGGCAAGAAACAAGGAUAAAGACCAACCUCGUAGAAUCUGAGGCCAAGAUGAUAUAUUGGGUCCCCUUUCAAAAUGUUAACCUAUUCACAUGGACAGUCGAAAACAUGUCAGGGGUAGACCCUAAGGUGAUCUUGCACAAGUUAUUCGUGUAUAAGGAAGCUCACACAAGGUUGCAAAAGAAGACAAAAUUAGGGGAUUAGAAGCGGAAAGUUGCCAAAGAGGAGAUUGAUAAGCUUAUCAAUGUUAGAUUUAUCUAGGAAGCACGAUACACAACAUGGUUAGAAAACAUAAUUAUGGUAAAAAAAGUUAGUGAAAAAUUAAGAAUUUAUACAUACUAUAUGGACAUCAAUAAGACAUAUCCUAAAGAUGUUUGUCCCUUACAAAGUAUGAACUGCAAGAUAAAAGGUCCUCAAUUUUCUAAAUGCCUACUCACAAUAUAACCAAAUAUGAAUACACUCAAAAGAUGGGAAGAAGACGAUUUCUAUGACCAACAACACUAACUGUUUUUCUACAAGUUUGAUUCAACUUUCUAUGAACAAACGACAACAAUUUCUCAAAAAAAACUUAUGCACCCGAAAUGGAUGUUCUUGCAACUCUAACAUCUAAUGCAAAACUAAUAGUAAUGUUGUAACACACAACUAUUGAAACAAAGACUUAUUCCUAAACAUGUUUAUGAUAUUAGUCGCAAAGAUAUCUACAACACUACACUAGUUAAUAAAAAAAAUAAAAUAAAAUAUAUAUAUAUAUAUAUAUUUAUUUAUCUACGAAAGAAAAACUCAAUUUAUCUACGGAAGAAAUCUGUAAGUAACAGUCAAAAUUCGUAGGUAAAUAAGCAUUACCUACGGAAAAAAAAUCUGUAUGUAAUGUGGGCGUAGAUAAUUCAACAUCUUUUAUUAUUAAAAUUUCAAUUAUUAUUUGAUUUUUUAAUUUUUUUUUAAUUAUUAUUUACAUAUAUUAUUUAAUGCCUAUUUUUAUGAUUAUUAUUAACAAUUAUUAUAUAUGUUUUGACAAUUAUUAUUAAAAGUUAUAAGUAAACUAUAACAGGUGAGACUCGAAACCAAGUCCCUUGAAAAAUAACGAAAAAAACUUUAAUUAUUACACCAAACAAGUUUUGUUGUCAUGUUAUCAUUAUUAUUAAUAUUAUAAUAUUAAUAAUAUAUAUACUUAUUAGUUAUGAUUAUUAUUAUUUAUGAAUAUUAGUUAUGAUUUUAUAAUUAUGCAUAUGAUAAUAAUAUUUUUAAUAUUAUAUAUAUAAUUAUUAUGAUAAUAGUUGGUAGGUAAUAGAGAUCCGUGAGUAAUAGUUGGUAGGUAAUAAAUAUUCGUGGGUAAAGUUCGUAGGUAAUAAGAUCUGUGGGUAAUAAUAGUUGGUAGGUAAUGCUAAAUUUACUUACGGAUUCAGAUUUGUAGAUAAUGUUGAAUUUACAUACGAAUUAAAAUCUGUAGAUAAUAUGAUUUUUUUUGUAAUGACACCAAUUGUUAUUUAUUCAAGCUUUAUUAGUGUAGGUUUAAAGAGUUAUUUACAACCGGAUGAAAAGACUUAUUUUGAAUGUGGCGAGGAAUUGGAUUCAAGGAGGGAUCAUAACAAGACAAUCAACAUGUUGGGAGAAAGUUUCAAUUAAAAUGCAAGAAGAAUUACCAAUUUGUCAUGGAUGUAGCCUCGGACAAACAAUAUUUAAUGGUACGGUAUUUUAUAAAUGAAUAAUAUUUAAUGUUCUAUUAAUUUAUUAAUUUAUGUUGAUAAAGUCAAUAAUAUACAUUACCAUAUACUUGAAUAUUUUAAUUAUAUUCAAGUGUUAUUAAUAAACAUAUUAUGAAUUGAAUAGGAAAAAUAUUUCAAUUCAGUAACCAAUUGGAGUGCAUUUAUGCAUACUUUUCGAUUCAUGUUUAGCCUAUAGUGAAUAUGUGAAUUUGAGAGGCUAGUUCAUAGAUUCAACUUUUGUAGAUGUAUGACUAAUUUCUUAACCUAAAAGUUGUUAAUUAUCUAAAUCUUAUUCCACUUUAUGUAUACUUGUAACUAACAAUUUUAUGAGAUUUUUUAUUAACAAUAAAAAAUAUUUAAAUUAAAUAAAUUAUUUAGUGAUGCAAUCCAUAUACAAAACUUCACUUAUAAAAUUGUCUUUGUAAAAUACCUAUUCAAACAAAAUGCAUAUGGCUCUCACAUAAGAACCCAAAAUAAAACUUAGGACAACCCACAACCAUUAUUGGAGCCUUGCCUAUAUGCUACAUAUUCAACAUACCACAGUGGUAAGCAACAGUAGAAAAAAUAAGACUAUAAGGUCUUAGUCCUAAGCAUAAAUGUGGCUCUGUAUAUAGAUUUUACAUAAGAUUUCAAAUAGAUUUACAAGUUUUAAUUUAUUAAAAUAUAUAAAUCAUUUGAAUCAAAUUAAAGUUGACUAAAUCUAUAAUAAUAAUUUACGUCGAUCUAAAUUUUGAAAACUAAAUUCAUGUUUACAAAAUACUUAAUAUUAGAAAAAUAUAAAUCAUGAUGCCUUAAAAGCAUUUUUUUUUGUAUUUAAUCAAUUGUCUAAACCAAUAUUAAUCAAAUAAAUUAUCAACUAUUAAUGAAAUAUUUAGAACAGAUAAAUAAUAAUUUUGUAAACAUAUUUAAUUAAAUCAAAUCAAUAUAACAUGUUUAAAAUAUAAAUUGUUUGAAUGUACAUGACAAUGUUUGUAAUUAUUAUAUAUAUUUUUUACAAAUACACAGAAAUGUGACGACUCAUAUUGAUUUUUUUAAAACUAAAAAUUAAUAACAAAUAUAUUAAGAAUUACAAUAUAAAAAAUUUAAGUUAAAUCCAUUUACUACAAGACGAUAUUGUUAUGGCACUAAAGGAUAUAAAGGACUUUGCAUGGAUACCUAGAUGGAAACCACCAAUUGGGAAAAUGAAAAUAAACGUAGAUGGAAGCUAUGAUUUAUCACUCAGUACAUAUUGUCACAGGGAAGUCUAGAUAUAGGGAUCAAAAUUCUAUGUAGGUCUUUGGCUUUUCUUCUUGUAAUACAUCCAAAGCGGAAAUUUUGGUCAUUUUGCAUGUAAUUCAUAUGUAACAACUAUUUUAGAAUAUAAUAACAUGUCCUUGUAUUACAUAGUUCACUACAAAAUACAAAAUAAAUAAUAUAAACAAGUAAAAUAUCAUGGACAACCAAAUGUUUAGAAUAAGAAGAUGGAUACAAAUAAGCAAUGUUAUGUAUUGGAGAGUAGUAUAUACUUUACCAGUAAAUAAUUUCAACAUUGAAUAUAUCUAGCUAGAGUUGAUUGUUUGAUCCUGUGUCACUGUUUCAUCUGGAAAUAGAAUAGGUUUUGGAGGUAUUUCCAAGUCUUCAAUAUCUCCUUCAAGCAUUUCCACUACUCUAUUCAUUGAGGGUCGAUCAUUUGGUUUUAGUUGUAUACACCAUAGUGCAACUAUGAUCAUCUUCUUUGCUAUUUUAUUUUCUUCUUCUGUCACAUCUUCAAUAUCUGCAUCUUUCUCUUCCCUAAUAUGAUCAUAGAUCCAAAGGGGAAAGUAAAGUUGACUUGAGUGAUCUGCAUGAGGAUUUAGAUUCUUUCUCUUACUUGUCAUCUCCAUCAACAACAUUCCGAAGCUAUAAACAUCAGCCUUAUGGGAUAUUCCUCCAAUAUUUUUAUAAAACAAUUCAGGAGCCAUAUAUCCAAUGGUUCCUCUUGCUACAGUCAUUGUGACAAUGCUAUUAUCUAUUGGAUAUAACUUUGCCAAUCCAAAGUCAGAAACCUUAGGGAUGAAGUUUUCAUCUAGUAAGAUGUUAUGAGGUUUAAUGUCAAAAUGCAAAAUCUGCAUCUCACACCCAUGGUGGAGAUAAGCAAUCCCACGAGCCACUCCGAUUGAUAUAUUAUAUAUCUUUUCAUAGCUUAAAUGUAUAUUUCUCUCUUUUGAGAAAAUAAAUUUAUCAAGAGAUCCAUUGGGCAUGAAUUCAUAAACAAGAGCACGUUUUGAGCCACUAACACAAAAUCCAAUUAAUUGUACCACAUUUUGAUGAUGUAUUCUUCCAAUGGUUGCAACUUCACUGAUAAAAUCUUGUCCAUUUCCUUUGGAUUCGUUCAAUAUUUUGAUGGCCACAGAAGGUCCACUGCGCAACUUUGCCUUAAAAACAGAGCCAAAUCCUCCUUCACCUAACUUCUCUUUGAAACCUGCAACCAUCUUCUUGAUUUCCUUGAAUGAAUAUCUAAUAGGUGCAAAGCUAUUUUGUUCAAGGUAAUUUUCAAUAUUUUCAUACAUUGACAUAUGUCUUUUUCUCCAUUUACAUAUAAAAAUAACAAUUAAGAAUGGCAAUCCAAACAAAACUUUGUAAGCCCAUACCAUAAGAAUAAUUUGUUGGAGAUAUCCUGCAAGAAAUUUUUACUUGGGUGAUUACACAUGGUAUUGUAAAAUGAAAUAAAUUAUUUGUUAAAGUAUUUUUUGUUCAC